rnacentral:rRNA from 1 species
AUACGGAGGGUGCAAGCGUUAUCCGGAUUCAUUGGGUUUAAAGGGUACGUAGGCGGAUAGAUAAGUUAGUGGUGAAAUCCCGAAGCUCAACUUCGGAACUGCCAUUAAAACUGUCUAUCUUGAAUUUGGUUGAAGUGGGCGGAAUAUGACAUGUAGCGGUGAAAUGCGUAGAUAUGUCAUGGAACACCGAUAGUGAAGACAGCUCACUAAGCCAAUAUUGACGCUGAGGUACGAAAGCAUGGGUAGCGAACAGGAUUAGAAACCCCAGUAGUCC